UUAUAUCAAAUUAAUUAAUUGGAUCAUGUGUUUUUAAUAUGAAGUUAUGGUUAUAUUUUAGUAAAUGUAUACAACAUGGUGAGUAGCCCCCAAGAAGAGCCAAAAUUAAGAUUGUAAUUCAUGUUGCUGAGAAAUCUAAAAGUAAUAAAUCAUAUUCGAAUUUUAUCUAUGACUUUUCUUGUAUGUUGUGUAUAAAAUGGAAAUUUGUUUAAUUUGAGUUUAUACACAACAUAUAUAUAUAUAUUGCUAGCUACUGGUUAUCCACUAACAGGUUAUUUUAUUAUCAAAUUCUCUAUUAGUCUGAUCAAGUAUAUUAGAGAAUAAAUAGUGGCUUACUUGAUGAAUAGACAGUGGUUUGUUUACAUCUUGCGCAUAUGCAAAUUUAGUAGAGAAGUAGGUAACACGUGACCAGAAUCAACCAAUGAGAGCCAAGUAAAUAUAAUAGAACAGUUAAAAUUGGAAUUGUGAAAGGGACAGCACGUGAAUUUAUACAAGCAUUACAUUUGUCGUUGAAUCGUACCCACCCACCAUCCCCAGGUCAUCACCAUAGGGUAGCGAUAUAUAUAGUCAUGUAUUUAAUAAAUCUUGAUCAGGUGUAAACAUGUAACUUUUAACAUAGAAUUGUAAUCAUAUAGUAAUUGAUUUUAUGUUUGAGGUCAUUGUUGGAUCUCUAUCUUAGUUUGAUGUUUUUGUUGCAUUAAACACAUGCAGUUAUAUGGGCUACUCACCACAUAUUAUGUUUGUGUUCAGGUUUAUUAUGUUUUGUUUCAACCUAUUCUAGUCACUAGUAGCUUACGGCUUUAGUUUAUUUUGUUGUAGUUUUGCAGUAUAUAUAUGUAACCAUCCAGUUCCUUUACCCUGUUCCAGGGUUUAGUUAUUUAACCUGUUCCAGGUUACCUCCCUUAGUUGAGAUGUACCCUGUUCCAGGGCUUAGUUAUAUAACCUGUUCCAGGUUACCUCCCUUAGAGAUUUACCCUGUUCCAGGGCUGAGUUAUGUAACCUGUUCCAGGUUACCUCCCUUAGUUGAGAUGUACCCUGUUCCAGGGCUUAGUUAUAUAACCUGUUCCAGGUUACCUUAAUUAGUGGAGAUUUGCCCUGUUCCAGGGAUUAAUUAUGUAACUUGUUCCAGGUUACCUCCCUUAGUUGAGAUGUACCCUGUUCCAGGGCUUAGUUAUAUAACCUGUUCCAGGUUACCUUACUUAGUGGAGAUUUGCCUUGUUCCAGGGCUUAGUUACAUAACCUGUUCCAGGUUACCUCCCUUAGUUGAGAUGUACCCUGUUCCAGGGCUUAGUUAUGUAACCUGUUCCAGGUUACCUCCCUUAAUUUGAGAUUUACCCUGUUCCAGGGUUUUCAUUACACAACCUGUUCCAGGUUACCUCCCUUAGUUGAGAUGUACCCUGUUCCAGGGCUUAGUUAUAUAACCUGUUCCAGGUUACCUUCCUUAGAGAUUUACCCUGUUCCAGGGCUUAGUUUAAUGUAACCUGUUCCAGGUUACCUUACUUAGUGGAGAUUUGCCUUGUUCAAUGGCCAUUAGAAUUCCAGGGAAUUCUUUUUCCCCAUUCAGAUAAUAACUACCUUUACAGGUUAUAUCAAAUUAAUUAAUUGGAUCAUGUGUUUUUAAUAUGAAGUUAUGGUUAUAUUUUAGUAAAUGUAUACAACAUGGUGAGUAGCCCCCAAGAAGAGCCAAAAUUAAGAUUGUAAUUCAUGUUGCUGAGAAAUCUAAAAGUAAUAAAUCAUAUUCGAAUUUUA